rnacentral:rRNA from 1 species
ACUAAGCGUACACGGUGGAUGCCCUGGCAGUCAGAGGCGAUGAAGGACGUGCUAAUCUGCGAUAAGCGUCGGUAAGGUGAUAUGAACCGUUAUAACCGGCGAUUUCCGAAUGGGGAAACCCAGUGUGUUUCGACACACUAUCAUUAACUGAAUCCAUAGGUUAAUGAGGCGAACCGGGGGAACUGAAACAUCUAAGUACCCCGAGGAAAAGAAAUCAACCGAGAUUCCCCCAGUAGCGGCGAGCGAACGGGGAGCAGCCCAGAGCCUGAAUCAGUGUGUGUGUUAGUGGAAGCGUCUGGAAAGGCGCGCGAUACAGGGUGACAGCCCCGUACACAAAAAUGCACAUGCUGUGAGCUCGAUGAGUAGGGCGGGACACGUGGUAUCCUGUCUGAAUAUGGGGGGACCAUCCUCCAAGGCUAAAUACUCCUGACUGACCGAUAGUGAACCAGUACCGUGAGGGAAAGGCGAAAAGAACCCCGGCGAGGGGAGUGAAAAAGAACCUGAAACCGUGUACGUACAAGCAGUGGGAGCCUCUUUAUGGGGUGACUGCGUACCUUUUGUAUAAUGGGUCAGCGACUUAUAUUCUGUAGCAAGGUUAACCGAAUAGGGGAGCCGAAGGGAAACCGAGUCUUAACUGGGCGUUAAGUUGCAGGGUAUAGACCCGAAACCCGGUGAUCUAGCCAUGGGCAGGUUGAAGGUUGGGUAACACUAACUGGAGGACCGAACCGACUAAUGUUGAAAAAUUAGCGGAUGACUUGUGGCUGGGGGUGAAAGGCCAAUCAAACCGGGAGAUAGCUGGUUCUCCCCGAAAGCUAUUUAGGUAGCGCCUCGUGAAUUCAUCUCCGGGGGUAGAGCACUGUUUCGGCAAGGGGGUCAUCCCGACUUACCAACCCGAUGCAAACUGCGAAUACCGGAGAAUGUUAUCACGGGAGACACACGGCGGGUGCUAACGUCCGUCGUGAAGAGGGAAACAACCCAGACCGCCAGCUAAGGUCCCAAAGUCAUGGUUAAGUGGGAAACGAUGUGGGAAGGCCCAGACAGCCAGGAUGUUGGCUUAGAAGCAGCCAUCAUUUAAAGAAAGCGUAAUAGCUCACUGGUCGAGUCGGCCUGCGCGGAAGAUGUAACGGGGCUAAACCAUGCACCGAAGCUGCGGCAGCGACGCUUAUGCGUUGUUGGGUAGGGGAGCGUUCUGUAAGCCUGUGAAGGUGUGCUGUGAGGCAUGCUGGAGGUAUCAGAAGUGCGAAUGCUGACAUAAGUAACGAUAAAGCGGGUGAAAAGCCCGCUCGCCGGAAGACCAAGGGUUCCUGUCCAACGUUAAUCGGGGCAGGGUGAGUCGACCCCUAAGGCGAGGCCGAAAGGCGUAGUCGAUGGGAAACAGGUUAAUAUUCCUGUACUUGGUGUUACUGCGAAGGGGGGACGGAGAAGGCUAUGUUGGCCGGGCGACGGUUGUCCCGGUUUAAGCGUGUAGGCUGGUUUUCCAGGCAAAUCCGGAAAAUCAAGGCUGAGGCGUGAUGACGAGGCACUACGGUGCUGAAGCAACAAAUGCCCUGCUUCCAGGAAAAGCCUCUAAGCAUCAGGUAACAUCAAAUCGUACCCCAAACCGACACAGGUGGUCAGGUAGAGAAUACCAAGGCGCUUGAGAGAACUCGGGUGAAGGAACUAGGCAAAAUGGUGCCGUAACUUCGGGAGAAGGCACGCUGAUAUGUAGGUGAGGUCCCUCGCGGAUGGAGCUGAAAUCAGUCGAAGAUACCAGCUGGCUGCAACUGUUUAUUAAAAACACAGCACUGUGCAAACACGAAAGUGGACGUAUACGGUGUGACGCCUGCCCGGUGCCGGAAGGUUAAUUGAUGGGGUUAGCGGUAACGCGAAGCUCUUGAUCGAAGCCCCGGUAAACGGCGGCCGUAACUAUAACGGUCCUAAGGUAGCGAAAUUCCUUGUCGGGUAAGUUCCGACCUGCACGAAUGGCGUAAUGAUGGCCAGGCUGUCUCCACCCGAGACUCAGUGAAAUUGAACUCGCUGUGAAGAUGCAGUGUACCCGCGGCAAGACGGAAAGACCCCGUGAACCUUUACUAUAGCUUGACACUGAACAUUGAGCCUUGAUGUGUAGGAUAGGUGGGAGGCUUUGAAGUGUGGACGCCAGUCUGCAUGGAGCCGACCUUGAAAUACCACCCUUUAAUGUUUGAUGUUCUAACGUUGACCCGUAAUCCGGGUUGCGGACAGUGUCUGGUGGGUAGUUUGACUGGGGCGGUCUCCUCCUAAAGAGUAACGGAGGAGCACGAAGGUUGGCUAAUCCUGGUCGGACAUCAGGAGGUUAGUGCAAUGGCAUAAGCCAGCUUGACUGCGAGCGUGACGGCGCGAGCAGGUGCGAAAGCAGGUCAUAGUGAUCCGGUGGUUCUGAAUGGAAGGGCCAUCGCUCAACGGAUAAAAGGUACUCCGGGGAUAACAGGCUGAUACCGCCCAAGAGUUCAUAUCGACGGCGGUGUUUGGCACCUCGAUGUCGGCUCAUCACAUCCUGGGGCUGAAGUAGGUCCCAAGGGUAUGGCUGUUCGCCAUUUAAAGUGGUACGCGAGCUGGGUUUAGAACGUCGUGAGACAGUUCGGUCCCUAUCUGCCGUGGGCGCUGGAGAACUGAGGGGGGCUGCUCCUAGUACGAGAGGACCGGAGUGGACGCAUCACUGGUGUUCGGGUUGUCAUGCCAAUGGCACUGCCCGGUAGCUAAAUGCGGAAGAGAUAAGUGCUGAAAGCAUCUAAGCACGAAACUUGCCCCGAGAUGAGUUCUCCCUGACUCCUUGAGAGUCCUGAAGGAACGUUGAAGACGACGACGUUGAUAGGCCGGGUGUGUAAGCGCAGCGAUGCGUUGAGCUAACCGGUACUAAUGAACCGUGAGGCUUAACC